GGCAUGGUGGCUUAGUGGUUAGAAUGUUUGCCUCGUACCUCCAGGGUUGGGGGUUUGAUUCCCACCUGUGUGCA